rnacentral:rRNA from 1 species
GACGAACGCUGGCGGCGUGCCUAAUACAUGCAAGUAGAACGCUGAAGGAGGAGCUUGCUUCUCUGGAUGAGUUGCGAACGGGUGAGUAACGCGUAGGUAACCUGCCUGGUAGCGGGGGAUAACUAUUGGAAACGAUAGCUAAUACCGCAUAAGAGUAGAUGUUGCAUGACAUUCGCUUAAAAGGUGCAAUUGCAUCACUACCAGAUGGACCUGCGUUGUAUUAGCUAGUUGGUGGGGUAACGGCUUACCAAGGCGACGAUACAUAGCCGACCUGAGAGGGUGAUCGGCCACACUGGGACUGAGACACGGCCCAGACUCCUACGGGAGGCAGCAGUAGGGAAUCUUCGGCAAUGGACGGAAGUCUGACCGAGCAACGCCGCGUGAGUGAAGAAGGUUUUCGGAUCGUAAAGCUCUGUUGUAAGAGAAGAACGAGUGUGAGAGUGGAAAGUUCACACUGUGACGGUAUCUUACCAGAAAGGGACGGCUAACUACGUG